GAUGUCCAUGGACAGAUGAAUGGAUAAAGACUAUUGCUCAGUCAUCAGAAAGGACAAAUACCAUUUACAUCAACGUGGAUGGAACUGGAGGGUGUUAUGCUGAGUGAAAUGAGUCAACGAGAGACAGACAUUGGUGUGGUUUUACUUCUAUGUGGAAUAUAAGAGACAGUAUAGAGGAUCAGGGCGAAGGAGGUGAUGGCCCACCUAUUUUUCAUGACAGGGCAAGGAGAACAUUUUAUUCAGUACCAUGCUCCAAUUUAAAGGAAGAACACUGAUAAGCCAUACUUCAUACAGAGGAACAUGACCAGAAUGUUGAAAAAGUAAAGGAAACGUGUUGCUUUCCAGCUAAAAUAUGGAGAUCUAGUGAUACAUUAUAGCCUUUCUGAUCAAUUGUGAAUCCCCAAAAUAUGAAAGGAAAACAAGAAAUGAAUAACAAAUCAAGGAAAAGAAAAAAAAUAAUAAUCUAAACACUACAGUUUCCCUGAGUGGAUCACAAACCAUGAACAAUUCCAGAAAUCCAACAGCACACAGAGAACAAUAAUUGGAAGGUGGGCAUUAUAGCCUCAAUGAGGAGAAUCCGAGAUGGAGGAGAAUCAGAAGCAACUGAGAGGGAGACAAUUGGGGACCAAGAGCAUGAGCUUCCAGGUGGGUCAGCCUCUGCAAACACUGCCACCAUUUGCUCCACACAGCCCCAGCUGAGCACCUGCCUCUGUGUUUAAGCCGUGAGCGGAGGAACCUGAGUCAGAAAGACAGAAGAGUCCUCCUGAGGGUUGUCCAUACCUGGAACACAUGCUCAGAAGAACAAGGUGGUCUAUGCCUCCACACCAACAUAUUUUGCCGUUCCCACAGACUCCCCUCCCGCCCGCCCCCACUGCCCAGUCUGUACAAAUUAGUGGCAAGAGUCUAAAAGAGAAUUUCAACGACCAAAAGUAAGCAGACUGGAGUGUUAUAUUAAAUAUUUAAAGUUAUGAAAGAUAUAUGAGGAUAUCGUAGUCAAAAAUUCAAUUAACGCAAUGUACUUCCAGUAGGAAUAUGAUGACAGCUUAGAUUUGAGUAUUCUCCUAUUCUUCUGAAAAAAAAAAAAAA